ACACUGCCUUGUGCACACGAGGGACCUCCCUCCACCUCUGCUCAGGCUCAGGAGAGCCUGAUGUGGUGAAUCUCCACGUCCUGUCUGGACCCUGCCAUGGGCACUAGGCUCCUCUACUGUGCAGCCCUCUGUCUUCUGGGGGCAGGUCACACAGGAGCUGGCGUUAUCCAGUCCCCCAGGUCCAAGGUCACAAGGAGGGGCUGGGACGUGACCUUCAGAUGUGAUCCAAUUUCUGGUCACACUGCCCUUUAUUGGUACCAACAGGCCAUAGGGCAAGGCCCUGAGGUUUUAACUUACUUCCAAGGCAAGGACAAAGUAGAAAUGACAGGGAUGCCCAAGAAUGAUCGGUUCCACGUGAACAGGUCGGAGGGGACCUACUCCACUCUGCAAAUCCAGCGAGCAGAGCCGGGGGACUCGGCUGUGUACCUCUGUGCCAGCAGCCCUACCACAGCCAUAGGGCAAGGCCCAGAGUUUUUAAUUUACUUCCAAGACGAGAACAAACUAGACACGACAGGGAUGCCCAAGAAUGAUCGGUUCCACGCGAACAGGUCAGAGGGGACUUACUCCACUCUGCAGAUCCAGCGAGCGGAGCCGGGGGACUCGGCUGUGUACCUCUGUGCCAGCAGCCCUACCACAGUGGGGCACAGCUGCCGCCUUCCUCUGCACCAACCUCAGGCUUCUCUCUCCCUGCUGCACUCGGGGACCCUAAACAGCUGUCCGUGCUCUUCGUUUCCCAAUAAAAAGGAGUAG